rnacentral:rRNA from 1 species
GUCGUCAGCUCGUGUCGUGAGAUGUUGGGUUAAGUCCCGCAACGAGCGCAACCCUUAUCAUUAGUUGCCAGCAUUCAGUGGGGCACUCUAAUGAGACUCUCGGUGACAAACCGGAGGAAGGUGGGGAUGACGUCAAAUCAUCAUGCCCCUUAUGAUUUGGGCUACACACGUGCUACAAUGGACAGGUUACAAAGGGCAGCUAAGCUGCGAGGCCAAGCGAAUCCCAUAAAACUGUUCUCAGUUCGGAUUGGAGUCUGCAACUCGACUCCAUGAAGCUGGAAUCGCUAGUAAUCGUGGAUCAGAAUGCCACGGUGAAUACGUUCCCGGGUCUUGUACACACCGCCCGUCACACCCCGAAGAGUCGGUAACACCUGAAGCCGG